CAGUAGCCACGGGAAUACGUAGGUGGCAAGCGUUGUCCGGAUUUAUUGGGCGUAAAGCGAGCGCAGGCGGUCAAUUAAGUCUGAUGUGAAAGCCCCCGGCUCAACCGGGGAGGGUCAUUGGAAACUGGGAAACUUGAGUGCAGAAGAGGAGAGUGGAAUUCCACGUGUAGCGGUGAAAUGCGUAGAGAUGUGGAGGAACACCAGUGGCGAAGGCGACUCUCUGGUCUGUAACUGACGCUGAGGAGCGAAAGCGUGGGGAGCGAACAGGAUUAGAUACCCCGGUAGUCCCUGUCUCUUAUAC
rnacentral:rRNA from 1 species